GAUGAACGCUGGCGGCGUGCCUAAUACAUGCAAGUCGAGCGAAUGGAUUAAGAGCUUGCUCUUAUGAAGUUAGCGGCGGACGGGUGAGUAACACGUGGGUAACCUGCCCAUAAGACUGGGAUAACUCCGGGAAACCGGGGCUAAUACCGGAUAACAUUUUGAACCGCAUGGUUCGAAAUUGAAAGGCGGCUUCGGCUGUCACUUAUGGAUGGACCCGCGUCGCAUUAGCUAGUUGGUGAGGUAACAGCUCACCAAGGCAACGAUGCGUAGCCAACCUUAGAGGGGGAGCGGCCACGCUGGGGCUGGAGCACGGCCCAGACUCCUAAGGGAGGCAGCAGUAGGGAAUCUUACGGAAUGGACGAAAGUCUGACGGAGCAACGCAGGGUGAGUGAUGAAGGCUUUCGGGUCGUAAAACUCUGUUGUUAGGGAAGAACAAGUGCUAGUUGAAUAAGCUGGCACCUUGACGGUACCUAACCAGAAAGCCACGGCUAACUACGUGCCAGCCGCCGCGGUAA
rnacentral:rRNA from 1 species